AAGUUUUCGGAUGGAAUCCUGGUUGACUGAGUGGCGGACGGGUGAGUAACGCGUGGAUAACCUGCCUCACACUGGGGGAUAACAGUUAGAAAUGACUGCUAAUACCGCAUAAGCGCACAGUACCGCAUGGUACCGUGUGAAAAACUCCGGUGGUAUGAGAUGGACCCGCGUCUGAUUAGCUAGUUGGUGGGGUAACGGCCCACCAAGGCGACGAUCAGUAGCCGGUCUGAGAGGAUGAACGGCCACACUGGAACUGAGACACGGUCCAGACUCC
rnacentral:rRNA from 1 species